UACGAAGGGGGCUAGCGUUGCUCGGAAUCACUGGGCGUAAAGCGCACGUAGGCGGGUCUUUAAGUCCGGGGUGAAAUCCUGGAGCUCAACUCCAGAACUGCCUUUGAUACUGGCGACCUUGAGUCCGGGAGAGGUGAGUGGAACUGCGAGUGUAGAGGUGAAAUUCGUAGAUAUUCGCAAGAACACCAGUGGCGAAGGCGGCUCACUGGCCCGGUACUGACGCUGAGGUGCGAAAGCGUGGGGAGCAAACAGG
rnacentral:rRNA from 1 species